CGACGAAACACCGUUUCCCGUAAGAUCACCGAAGUUAAGAAACAUAGGGUCUGGUCUGUACAUAGAUGGGUGACUGAUUGGGAAUAUCAGUUGC